GGAUUAGAUACCCUGGUAGUCCACGCCCUAAACGAUGAAUACUCGACCUUAGCGAUAUACAGUUAGGGUCCAAGCGAAAGCGUUAAGUAUUCCACCUGGGAAGUACGUUCGCAAGAAUGAAACUCAAAGGAAUUGACGGGGGCCCGCACAAGCGGAGGAGCAUGUGGUUUAAUUCGAUGAUACGCGAGGAACCUUACCUGGGCUUGAAUGUGAGUGACCGGUGCCGAAAGGUACUUUCCCUUCGGGGCACAAAACAAGGUGCUGCAUGGCUGUCGUCAGCUCGUGCCG
rnacentral:rRNA from 1 species